rnacentral:sRNA from 1 species
GAUGGGUGCGGUGGCGCAUGCCUGUAAUCCCAGCAGCUUGGGAGGCUGAGGCAGGAGGAUCGUGAGUUCAAAGCCAGCCUCAGCAACUGUGAGGCCCUAAGCAACUCAGUGAGACCCUGUCUCUA